AUGGGGCAUUCUGGUAUACUGACCAGACUGUUCCAUGUGAUUAUUAAGGUAGUCUGAGCAGUAUACAUUUCAAAACAAUCAGUUAAGAAGGUAAUUGACACUUUGAUUCUCUUUCAAAAACUUAUUAUGAUUUUCAAAUUCUACAUUUACUUAUCAUUUGAUAUGUUUUUACACUCAAUAAAUGUAAAAAUAAGAUGGUGGCACUGUUUUGAUAUUUUUGGAUAAUCCCUGUUUCACAUAAUGAUGGACCUGUCCGUCCAGUUAAACUGUUGAACAAUUUGAAAUCUCAGAUAUAUGGGUCAGCUGCUUAUUGAAUGCCACCACAAAGGGUCUUGCAAAAUUUUGGAGAUUACAUCUUGUUUUUGAAUGUUGUGUACAUAUUUUGGAAUUUUCAAAGAAAACAUUUAUCUAAAUGUGACAAGACUGUGGAAAUGUUUGGUUGUUGUAAAUGAACUAAGAGUGAACUGAGGGAGGAAGAUUAUACAAAAGAAUCAUAGUAAAAAGUUUCAGACUGGGCCAUUGCAGACUGUGAAAAUUUGCCAACUUAGUGUUUAUAGUAUCAGCAAUAUUUCACUACCUUGGAGUCUGAAAAGGUGAACGCAACUACAAGAUGUGCCACUAGGAAACACUUGCACAGGACGUUAGCUGACAUAAUGAGGAAAAAUUGUGGUUUUGAUAAUCAGUUUGAAAGAAAGUUUUGGUUUGUGACAGACAACAUAAUAGUUGAAAUCAAGGUGAUCAAAGAAAGCAGCAGUACCUACAAAAGUCAUGUACAGAUACUUGCACAAUAAAAAAGCUGUUUGUGACACUUGAAGUUAAUGUAGGAUGUAUUCUGUAGCUAGACAAAAAGGAUAUCUUUUAUUUGUGAAGAAAAACAAACUGUGAUAAUUUUCAUAUCUUAACUUGGAUUAUUGAAAUACAAUUAGAUGUGAUUUUAAGAGAAUAAUCAUAUAAACAUACAUGUAUGUUUACAGUUACUCAUAAGCUUAUAGAGAAGUUUACUACAUGAAUAUUGAAUUAAUUAUUACAUAUAAACUAUAAUUUUAGAUGCAUAUCUUUAAUUAAGAUAGUCUAAAUACAAUUGUUUAGCCAGUCAUUUAAUUAUCAAUGGUCCAAAGUACAUGACAAAAUGGUCAUCAUUAAUUAAAUUAAAUAUAAUAAAAAAACAACUGUUUAUGGAAUUUUGCUCUGAUUAUUCCAUGCCAAAAUUCCGUGCCAAAAUUCCGUGCUAAGAUUCCGUGCUCAGAUUCCGUGCCAGUUUUCCGCACGGACAUUUUUCCUGCUCAUUUACAUAUUUCGUGCCAAAUUCCGUGCCAUUUCCACCCAGAAUCCGUGCCAAUAGUUCCGUGCCUAAAAUUCCGUUCAAAAUUCCGCACGGAAUUUACUCCUGCUCAUUUACAUAUUUCGUGCCAAAUUCCGUGCCAUUUCCGCCCAGAAUCCGCCCGUAAAAUGAACCCUUAUCAUAUACUGUAAAUUUUAAAGGAAUUUUAACUUUCUGGGCGUAAUCCGUGCCAAUAUUCCGCCCCAAUUCCGGGCGUAACAUU